GCGGAGGAUCAUUAGUGAAUAUAGGACGUCCAACUUAACUUGGAGUCCGAACUCUCACUUUCUAACCCUGUGCACUUGUUUGGGAUAGUAACUCUCGCAAGAGAGCGAACUCCUAUUCACUUAUAAACACAAAGUCUAUGAAUGUAUUAAAUUUUAUAACAAAAUAAAACUUUCAACAACGGAUCUCUUGGCUCUCGCAUCGAUGAAGAACGCAGCGAAAUGCGGUAAGUAAUGUGAAUUGCAGAAUUCAGUGAAUCAUCGAAUCUUUGAACGCACCUUGCGCUCCAUGGUAUUCCGUGGAGCAUGCCUGUUUGAGUGUCAUGAAUACUUCAACCCUCCUCUUUCUUAAUGAUUGAAGAGGUGUUUGGUUUCUGAGCGCUGCUGGCCUUUACGGUCUAGCUCGUUCGUAAUGCAUCAGCAUCCGCAAUCGAACUUCGGAUUGACUUGGCGUAAUAGACUAUUCGCUGAGGAAUUCUAGUCUUCGGACUAGAGCCGGGUUGGGUUAAAGGAAGCUUCUAAUCAGAAUGUCUACAUUUUAAGAUUAGAUCUCAAAUCAGGUAGGACUACCCGCUAAACUUAAGCAUAUCAAUAAGCGGAGGAA
rnacentral:rRNA from 1 species